UUGUACAAAUUAUGUCAAACUUGACUCAUACCAUACAUUCAAACCCAAAACCUUCUAAGUUAUAACAUGGAGAGUUGGAGACCAAGCGAUUGUAUCAACGAGCUUCACUGUCGGAGAAUCUCUUGGAGCUGAAGGACUUUUUUUUGGUAAGAUGAGCUGAAGGACUUGAUUUCUCUGUUCUGGUGGCAGAAAAUUAUCACAUGUUGAAGCAUUCAGUGCCUUCUCCAUCUCUGC
rnacentral:lncRNA from 1 species